UCCAUUGUGAGGUGGAAUCUGAAGGAAGCUGGAGGCAAAAUUCCGACCCGAGGAACACGAAUAUCAUCAGGCAUAGGACACGGGACGAGUUUGCAACACAUAACGAAGUCCAAUUAACUACACGGACGUGCCAAUGUAAAUGAUGCGGGUGCAUGGAAGGAAAGUGAAUCGU
rnacentral:ncRNA from 1 species